UGUAUAGACUGCAUUUGCUUGCUGACAGCCAUUUGAGGGAGACACACAUCAUGAUGCAUUGUAUCGGAGGUCGUUCCUGCCUUUCCUGCAAACACACACACUUCCUGCAGCUGGUCUGACACAAAACAAGGCACAAGAAUGAAGGCACAAAAAACCAAACUAGGAGAUUAAACAGAGAAAGAGAUGACUACAACAGACUGGGAUAGUCGUGAAAGUCAACAAACACAUGGAAACAGGGAUGUGCUUUUGAAAACUAUUGAUAAAGAAAAAAAUAUAAUGUGUCCUGCAACAGGAUAGAUAGAUGAUAUAUACAACACCAAGUGCUUAAACGUCACUCUACUUUCCUGUAUCCAUACAGUACAAAGGGUCAGCCAACAACUAAGGAAUCCACAUUUAGUAUGGGUGGGGAACAGUCAUAUUUCAAAACCUAUGUACAGUACAUGUGAAACUCAGUCUAUAAA